GCAGGGGCGGAUCCAGCCAAAAAUCUGACCGUAGCAUUUUCCAAGACCUCGCAUAGGUAGGGGGGUCCGGGGGCAUGCCCCCCGGAAAAUUUUUGAAAUUUGAAGCCCGGAAAUGCCAUUUCCUGCGUUCUGAGCACUGCAUGUGAUCAUUAAAUUUGCCCUCAUUGUAUUCAUUUCUCAAGCAAAAAUAAGCCGAAAUGAUCUCAAAAUGUAAACUAUUGCUCGCGUAUAUUUUA